rnacentral:snRNA from 1 species
CACAUGGGUUAGUCGAUC